rnacentral:misc_RNA from 1 species
ACAAACUUGGUCAUUUAGAGGAAGUAAAAGUCGUAACAAGGUUUCCGUAGGUGAACCUGCGGAAGGAUCAUUACAAGACAUCCAGAUAUUUUCUUUGAGAUUUCUGGUAAUUCUUUACAUUUUUUGUGUAGACUUUCUUCGGAAGUUUGCGCAAAAUUUGUUUUACCCUUUGUGAACUACUCUCUAUUUGCUUCGGCAGCACCUUGCAGAAGAAAUUCUGUGAAGGGUAAGGCUGUCAGAAGCCCACUAUAAAAUCAGUUGACAAAAUACACAAGAGUCUGAUAUAAUUUUUGAGAAAUCAAAAAAUUCCAUUAAAACUUUCAGCAACGGAUCUCUUGGUUCUCGCAUCGAUGAAGAACGCAGC